rnacentral:lncRNA from 1 species
GUGGGCUAGCGGGAGAGGAGCGCGGGUUCUGCCUUGGCAGCCUCGCACUCCUGAAAAAUUGGGAUCCAGGUGGCAAAGGGAGAGAUGGGUGGAUCCAAGACCAGCCUCGUUUUGCUUUCGAUGGUCUUGUUCAGCGGAACGUCCAGCGACCCUCAUUCUCUUUCCUAUAAUUUCACCAUCGAUCCUCGGCCCAGAGAUAAUCAGCUAUGGUGUGAGGUUCAAGGAGAAGUUGACCAAAAGGUCUUUCUCUCCUAUGACUGUGGUACAGCUCAGAUCAAGUACAUGAGUCCAUUGGGAGAGGAAGUGAAAAAUAUGAGCGCCUGGGAAGCACAGACUGUCACACUCAGAGACACUGGAGACUUGCUCCAGGGGCAGAUGCCUGAUGGUACACCGGAGAAUCACACAGACAAGGUGAGAUCAGGCCCUCUGAUCCUGCAGGCCAGGAUGACAUGCUGGCGUGAAGACAAUGGACACACCAGUGCAUCCAGGGAGUUUGGCUUCAAUGGACAACUGUGCCUCCUCUUUGACUCGGAGAAUGGACACUGCACAGUGGUUCAUCCUGGAGGGAGGUGGAUGAAAGAGAAAUGGGAGAAUGACAGGGCUGUGACCGACUUCUUCAGGAUGGUCUCGAUGGGAGACUGUCCGGCCUGGCUUCAGGCUUUCUUGGUGCGCUGGGAGAAAAUGUUAAAGACCUCAGACGCUCACUGUCUUUGCUACAACUUCCCCGUUGAUCCUCACCCCAGUCCUGGAGAGCUGUGGUGUGUGAUUCAAGGCCAGGUAGAUGGGAAUGUUUAUCUCUAUGACUGUGCUGGCACCAUGAUCCAAUCCACAAGUCCAUUGGGAGAGGAGGUGAAAACUACGAACACUUGGGAAACCCAGAGAGAAACACUGAGAGACAUCGGGGACUUCCUCAAGGGGCAAUUGCCUGACAUUAUACCGGAGAAACACGCACCCAGAGACCCUCUGACCCUGCAGGGCAGGAUGACGUGCCAGUGUGAAGAGGAUGGACACAUCAGUGGAUCCUGGCAGUUCGGCUUCAAGGGAGAAAUGUGCCUCUGCUUUGAUUCAGAGAAUGGGCAUUGGACAAUGGAUCAUUCUGGAGGGAGGUGGAUUAAAGAGAAGUGGGAGAAGGACAGAGCUGUGACCGACUUCUUCAAGAAGGUCUCCAUGGAGACUGUCGGGCCUGGAUUCAGGAGUUUAUGGUGCACUGGGAGAAAAUGUUGAAGACCUCGG